rnacentral:rRNA from 1 species
UGCAAGUCGAACGAACUCUGGUAUUGAUUGGUGCUUGCAUCAUGAUUUACAUUUGAGUGAGUGGCGAACUGGUGAGUAACACGUGGGAAACCUGCCCAGAAGCGGGGGAUAACACCUGGAAACAGAUGCUAAUACCGCAUAACAACUUGGACCGCAUGGUCCGAGUUUGAAAGAUGGCUUCGGCUAUCACUUUUGGAUGGUCCCGCGGCGUAUUAGCUAGAUGGUGGGGUAACGGCUCACCAUGGCAAUGAUACGUAGCCGACCUGAGAGGGUAAUCGGCCACAUUGGGACUGAGACACGGCCCAAACUCCUACGGGAGGCAGCAGUAGGGAAUCUUCCACAAUGGACGAAAGUCUGAUGGAGCAACGCCGCGUGAGUGAAGAAGGGUUUCGGCUCGUAAAACUCUGUUGUUAAAGAAGAACAUAUCUGAGAGUAACUGUUCAGGUAUUGACGGUAUUUAACCAGAAAGCCACGGCUAACUACGUGCCAGCAGCCGCGGUAAUACGUAGGUGGCAAGCGUUGUCCGGAUUUAUUGGGCGUAAAGCGAGCGCAGGCGGUUUUUUAAGUCUGAUGUGAAAGCCUUCGGCUCAACCGAAGAAGUGCAUCGGAAACUGGGAACUUGAGUGCAGAAGAGGACAGUGGAACUCCAUGUGUAGCGGUGAAAUGCGUAGAUAUAUGGAAGAACACCAGUGGCGAAGGCGGCUGUCUGGUCUGUAACUGACGCUGAGGCUCGAAAGUAUGGGUAGCAAACAGGAUUAGAUACCCUGGUAGUCCAUACCGUAAACGAUGAAUGCUAAGUGUUGGAGGGUUUCCGCCCUUCAGUGCUGCAGCUAACGCAUUAAGCAUUCCGCCUGGGGAGUACGGCCGCAAGGCUGAAACUCAAAGGAAUUGACGGGGGCCCGCACAAGCGGUGGAGCAUGUGGUUUAAUUCGAAGCUACGCGAAGAACCUUACCAGGUCUUGACAUACUAUGCAAAUCUAAGAGAUUAGACGUUCCCUUCGGGGACAUGGAUACAGGUGGUGCAUGGUUGUCGUCAGCUCGUGUCGUGAGAUGUUGGGUUAAGUCCCGCAACGAGCGCAACCCUUAUUAUCAGUUGCCAGCAUUAAGUUGGGCACUCUGGUGAGACUGCCGGUGACAAACCGGAGGAAGGUGGGGAUGACGUCAAAUCAUCAUGCCCCUUAUGACCUGGGCUACACACGUGCUACAAUGGAUGGUACAACGAGUUGCGAACUCGCGAGAGUAAGCUAAUCUCUUAAAGCCAUUCUCAGUUCGGAUUGUAGGCUGCAACUCGCCUACAUGAAGUCGGAAUCGCUAGUAAUCGCGGAUCAGCAUGCCGCGGUGAAUACGUUCCCGGGCCUUGUACACACCGCCCGUCACACCAUGAGAGUUUGUAACACCCAAAGUCGGUGGGGUAACCUUUUAGGAACCAGCCGCCU